GCUGGAAUAGCUCAUUUGGGAGAGCAUUAGACUGAAAAUCUAUAAAUCCCUGGUUCGAUCCCGGGUUUCGGCA